UCACCGGCUCAGGGCUGGAAGGAAG
rnacentral:SRP_RNA from 14 species